rnacentral:rRNA from 1 species
GAUGAACGCUGGCGGCGUGCCUAAUACAUGCAAGUCGAGCGAACAGACGAGGAGCUUGCUCCUUCGACGUUAGCGGCGGGCGGGUGAGUAACACGUAGGUAACCUACCUAUAAGACUGGGAUAACUUCGGGAAACCGGAGCUAAUACCGGAUAAUAUUUCGAACCGCAUGGUUCGAUAGUGAAAGAUGGCUUUGCUAUCACUUAUAGAUGGACCUGCGCCGUAUUAGCUAGUUGGUAAGGUAACGGCUUACCAAGGCAACGAUACGUAGCCGACCUGAGAGGGUGAUCGGCCACACUGGAACUGAGACACGGUCCAGACUCCUACGGGAGGCAGCAGUAGGGAAUCUUCCGCAAUGGGCGAAAGCCUGACGGAGCAACGCCGCGUGAGUGAUGAAGGUCUUCGGAUCGUAAAACUCUGUUAUUAGGGAAGAACAAACGUGUAAGUAACUGUGCACGUCUUGACGGUACCUAAUCAGAAAGCCACGGCUAACUACGUG